UUACGGUCAAAUCACGCUGAAAACACCGGUUCUCGUUCGAUCACCGAAGUUAAGCAUCGCUGAAAUCUGAUACUUAGAUACUGGGGACCGCUUGGGAACACCCUGGUACUGUCA